rnacentral:rRNA from 1 species
UACGUAGGGUGCGAGCGUUAAUCGGAGUUACUGGGCGUAAAGCGUGCGCAGGCGGCUUCGCAAGUCAGACGUGAAAUCCCCGGGCUUAACCUGGGAAUGGCGUUUGAAACUACGGAGCUGGAGUGUGGCAGAGGGAGGUAGAAUUCCACGUGUAGCGGUGAAAUGCGUAGAUAUGUGGAGGAAUACCGAUGGCGAAGGCAGCCUCCUGGGCCAACACUGACGCUCAUGCACGAAAGCGUGGGGAGCAAACAGG